AGGAAAUGAAGACAAUUUACACUGCGGUCUUGGAGGCUCACCGCUAGGGGCAGAGUGGGUUGUACUCGCCAGGUUAAAACAACUCCCAGACAACCUAUUCACGUGAGAGCUCAAAGCAGCCAUAAUUUUCUGCACUCAAAAUCUUUCCGGUAAGGUUCUCCGCGUAUUGUCUCCUUGGUAAUUGGAAAACAUGGGACUGGGAGUGCAAUUGCAGGGCAUCUCCAGUCCUCCAGGAUACGAUCUGGCUGCUACAGAAGAGGACCAGGAGGAAGCUCUGCUCAGAAAAAGGAUAGAAAGGCAGCAUGGAAACCCUGCUUCAAGGAAACACGAGAUUCACUAUGCUCUUGGCGAACCUCCCGCGAAAAGAGACUUCUAGGGAGGAAGGAUCCCCAGAGAGGCUCCCUGACCACUGCAAGCACUUCUCAAAGGGCUUGAAGGAGCUCAACGAAAAAACCCCAUUGCUGCCCAAGACUUCUGAGAGCCAAACUGGUAGAUUUGUGCAACCUGCAGUGAAAUUGUCCACACUAUACGCAAAGAUUAAACUCUGUGUCUUUAUAAGCAGGCAGAAAGGAUUCCAGCUUCCUUAGGUGUUCGCUGAUUGGGAUCCAGAAGCCCGCAACAAAUGGAUUCGCUUCCUCCUUUGUGCUUUCUCCUCCAGGGAGGAAGGAUCCCCAGAGAGGCUCCCUGACCACUGCAAGCACUUCUCAAAGGGCUUGAAGGAGCUCAACGAAAAAACCCCAUUGCUGCCCAAGACUUCUGAGAGCCAAACUGGUAGAUUUGUGCAACCUGCAGUGAAAUUGUCCACACCGAUACGCAAAGGUUAAACUCUGUGCCUUUAUAAGCAGGCAGAAAGGAUUCCAGUUUCCUUAGGUGUUCGCUGAUUGGGAUCCGGAAGACCACAGCAAAUGGAUUCGCUUCCUCCUUUGUGCUUUCUCCUCCAGAUGCGUGGGAGAGCUUGAAGAUGGUUGAGGACCAAUAACCUGAGAAAGAGAAAUGUAUCCAAUCCCUUCUAUGUGAGAUAAUGUAACUUUGUGAUAAACAGAUAUACCAGUGAGGGGGAGUCAUUCAGAGAAACAAGGAGAGGAUUCCUGAUAGAAUUGGGGCGGAGGGAGAGAACCUGGAAGAAGCCUAUCUUGGCAUUCUUGAUGCUACACUGCCAUCCAGCGGAAUUACUUUGCUGUACUGCCACCACCUCUAUGAAGCUUUUUCUCAGUCUGUCUGAAAGUGAGAUGUGAGUGCCCAGGCCUUCUGGUUCAAAUAUUGAAUCAGCAACCAAUGAACAAAUGAAGGUACGUCCAGCCAACUGACCUGUUCUGGGGUUAGACAGGGUUUGUUUUUGGAGUAAUAAAUUCAGCUACUCGGGAAUUUGGCUCCAGCUGCAGAUGUAGCAGAGGAGAUGGCUUUGCUUGGCAUCAAUAGGAGGAGAUGCCCUUGGUCCUAUAAAGGCUAAAUACCCCAGUGUAGGGGAAUACCAGAGAUUUGAGGUGAAAGUGGGUACAUCCUCAUAGAACCAGGUAGAUGAGGGAGGGGAAUGGGAGGGGGGAAUAACAUUUGAAAUGUAAAUACAUAAUAUAUUCAAUUAAAAAAAACCAGUAGGAUUAAUUCAGAAAGACUGGUGGUCAGAAAAACUCAACCACAUUGUAGUCUCCUGGCAAAGAGAAACCCCAGGGUCAAGGUCAAAAUGACUCCUCCACCAUGUGGUGACUAUUUUAAGUAGGAAGCUGACCUGUUCAACCAGAGGAAUCAUGGGUAGAAUAAGUCCCAACUUUGACAGGUGGCAGAAAUGGAGCUAUAUUCUCCUAGACUUCAGAGUAAGCUAGCUGUGUGUUCCUGUGUUUUACACUUGCAUCUCAAGAUGUCCUCUGCAGAGGAAGCAAGGUCAUAGAGUAUCCAGAAUCCAUGGCAAAGUCUCUUGCCUCUAGUAGGUUGGAAGACAUUACUAAACUCAGACACAGGAACAUGGUUAGUCUACAGUGUAAGUCUUUUAGAGACUCAACCUCUGCAUAGAAUAGAUGGGUACACCUGACAGGCAGUGCUCAGAUCACUGAGCAGUGACAUUCUGUUCCGUUGGGAGGUGCAAGUCUUUGUUUUCGAUGCUCUGCCCAAGACCCUUCCCUUGAAAGUGUGUGAAAGGUGCCAGGUCCAGUCUUUAGGUAUGUCUUGCCUUGGGCCAGUGAGAACUUGUAGCAAGACAGUCAGGCACAAGAGCUUCAUCCAUAUCUCCAUAAUGAAAUUUGCUCUACCUCAGAAGCUCCCUCUUGUGUAUCUUAAGGCCUUCUUUCUCAGGGAAAUUACAUGCUUCACAAUAGUCACAAAUAUUAUAAAAUACCCUGGGGUAACUCUAACCAAACGAGUGAAGGUUCUGUAUAUAACAACUUCAAGUCUCUAAAUAAAUAAAUAAAUAAAUAGGAAGAAGAGCUCAGAAAAUGGAGAGAUAUCCCACAAUUAUGAACUAGUAGGCUAAACCUAGUAAAAUGGCCAUCUUAACAAAAUCAGUUUACAGAUUAAAUGCAAUCCCCAUCAAAAUCCCAACACAAUUCAUUAAAAACAUGGAAAAAGCAAUUCUCAAUUUCAUGCUGCACAUGAUUUUUAAAAACCAAGAUCCACAUACAAGUAGUACUAUUUCCCUGUGAGAAAAUGAAAUACGGGCAAAUAUCUUUUCUGGCAGAGGCUGAGUAGGAUAGUGGAAAGUAUUGUUUAUAGACAACGAGAUCAUAAUAUUUUCCAGGAACGGUCAAAGAGAUGGAAUACAGCCAGAACUGAGGAGCUAGUGGGUUGGUAGCAGCUGGGAUAGGCUAACAGUUCUUUGAAAUUUACUAGUUCCCAGUUAGGUUCAAUGGGAGCCUACUGUUUCAUUAGAGUCUGAAAUUGCCUCAACACAAAAUCUCAUGUGAGCAGCCAGUACUGGUGCAUACCUUUAAUCACAGCACAUAGGAGGCAGAGUUAUGCAGAUUUCUUGGAGUUCAAGGUCAGCCUGGUCAACAACACAAGUUUCAGGAGAGCCUGACCUGCUACAGAGAGAAACUCUGUCUCGGAAAACAAAAGGUUGGGGCAAAACAGCUCAUGUGAGCUAUGCAAGAUGGCUGACAGACACAACUGAGUACACAGACAGGGUCCUAGAAUUCUUAGGCUAGGGUCUCAGGGAAAGAAAACCAAAGGGUUCUGAUGACAGUUGUCCUUUCUCCUCUUUCUCCUCUGGUUCUCUUCCAUGGUCUGAGGAACUGGGGCUGUGAAAAUAGAAACAAUCCCUAUGUAUUCUCUACUCUGCACAAGCUGGAGUCUCCUCAUCCUUGGCCAUGUGUGGGAAAUUUCCAAUCUGAGGUCUUUGGAUCCUUAAGCCAAUAGAACAGAAUAGAGAGGAGAGCUGCUAACCAAACACUUCGGUCUUCUUGUCUAAAGAUCUCAACUUAUGGAGUCCAUGACCCUGGAUUUGCAUGGGUGGAUGUUCUGGGCCAUUGCUACAUCAUGGAUGUUUUCCCGGCCUGUGGGUUGUGUGGGGACCUGAUUUGAUGCUGAACCACGGAUUCCAAGUCCAAGACAAAGAGAGCUCUCCCAGCAAAACUCCUGAAGUACAGCAGAAGAAUAAAGGGAAUAAAAAGGAAGCCAAAAGACAGAAAAUACAGAAAGGAAGGGAAGAAAAAAAGCAGAGACAACAGGCUGAGUAUCUAAGAGUGGAAGGAGGGAAGGAAUGAAAAAGAGGGAGUAAUGGAAGUGAGAGUAGGGUAGAGAGUAUGAUGAAUUGAAAGGACUGACAUAUUUUUGACCUCUAGAUGGCAUUUCUCGAGACCCUGAAGCUCAUGAACAAAGUCCAGAAUCUCAUGGGCACUGGCUGAUUCCAAGAAAUGAGAUAUAUAUGCAGAAAGGUAUCUAAAAAACAGGUCAGAGGCAAUUGGGGGAGAUUCCUAACCUUGAUCAGCAAGUUACCCACAUAUCUGUGCCCCAGUUGAUGAAUCCGAAAUAGUGUUCCUCAUCACUGUGCAAACAUGGCCGCCUCGAGAUCACAAAGCCCAUAUUCGCAAGUAGCUGAAUUUAUUACUCAGAGAAGCAAGCUGGCUAACCGCAGAACCUGCCAGUUGGCUCAAGCUACCUUCACUUUAAUAUUUGAACCAGAAGCUGAAGCACUCCUCACCCACUACCAGACUUGCCAAGGAAAAGCUUAUGGAGGUGUUGAUAAGAACAGCAAAGCAAUUCCACUGGAUGGCAGUGUAGUAUCAAGAAUGUGAAGAUACCCUUCUUACAGGUUCUCUCCCUCCGCCCUUCUUGGAGUGAAAAAAAAAAAAAAAACUGAAACAGUUCAACAUAACACUUGACUCUGAUAUAUGUUAGAUAGAAAUUGGUUCCUUAUGUCUACAGUACCUAUUAUCACUGAUCUGACCUGGGUGGUCUCUGUUUCAGUGUAUUAAGAUAUUCUCCCACAAGGACAGGGACCAUCCUCAAGGCAUAAGGGCCAAACAGGAAAACCCAAUGAGGAUCCCUUCCCCUGGAUGCAAGGGUCAGGAGAAGCCAUAGAAACAAACUUCUAGCCAGAGACUUAGUCUGGGGCACAGUACAGCACCAUCAGUUCAGCACUCGAGUUCGCACUAAAUUCGGAACUGCAAAGCUAGAAAGAAGAGUCAGAAGACGCAAUACAUAUAAAUUCUUCAGAAGAAACGGGACCUUGGGCUGAGUACAAGUCCCUCCUGUGCUACCAAGAUAUAUCUAUUCUUCAGUCCUUUGCCCCCAGACAUUUUGAGAGAAAACACACUGAAUUAUUGGUGGGAACAUUAAGAACAGAUCACUUGCUGACAGUAUUGAACCAAGAAGCCAAGGUACCCAUCUUUCAGGUUCUCUCCCUCCACCCUUCUUUGAUAAACAACAACAACAACAACACCACACACACACACACACACACACACACACACACACACACACACACACACACAUUUUGCCAAUAAAUCCCAAGUUGACUGACCUUAAUCAUGGCCUCCUUUGGCCAGAGAUGGGCUUUGGAGCUUCACUGUAUACAUACUGUCUCGGAGGUCACAGGCCACACAAGUUCCUCAUUCCCAGUCCAACACAAGAACGUGGCAUGCCCUCAGAAACAUACAGGAAAACUAAGAGCAAUGGUCAAAAGAAGGUCUACAAAUACAUUCUUAGGCAGAAACUUGACCUUGGGCAACAUAUGACUCACUCACAUCUUUCCAGAAAUAAUCUGACUGGCCCAUAUGUACAUAACUUAUAACUGGAAUUUUGUCAGUGAGUGCCAAGGUAAACCAUAGAGUGUUCAGUCCUCCCACGGGGAAGAAGAGAUUGUAUAGCCAUUCGACAACCAAGCUUCUAGUUCAAGGCUACCUGAUUCUUCUCCCUACACAUACAUACCAGGCUCCUGACAGGAAAAGUUGGAAGGACAAAUAAGGAAGACAGUUGGAACAAUAGAGACAACCAGCUAUUCAAACAGAGUCAAGGGCCAGUGAUACAUUCAAACCUAGAAGAAGGAGAUGCCAGGUUGUAGUGAAGAAGAAAAAAAAAAAAAAAAACCACACACAAACACACAGAUGCUUUCCUUUUUGAGUGCCCUAGUUCCUUUUUUACAAACCAGAGUCAAAAUAAAAACUACAACUGUCACCCAAA
rnacentral:sRNA from 1 species